rnacentral:rRNA from 1 species
AGCAGCCGCGGUAAUUCCAGCUCCAAUAGCGUAUAUUAAAGUUGUUGCAGUUAAAAAGCUCGUAGUUGAAUUUCGGGAUUAGUACGCUGGUCGUGCCUUUGGUAUGUACUGGUGUUACUGAUUCCUACCUUCUGACGAACCAUCAUGUCAUUCAUUUGGUGUGGCGGGGAAUCAGGACUGUUACUUUGAAAAAUUAGAGUGUUUAAAGCAGGCUCGCGCUUGAAUACAUUAGCAUGGAAUAAUGAAAUAGGACGUUUGAUCCUAUUUUGUUGGUUUCUAGGAUUGACGUAAUGAUUAAUAGGGAUAGUUGGGGGCAUUAGUAUUCAAUUGUCAGAGGUGAAAUUCUUGGAUUUAUUGAAGACUAACUACUGCGAAAGCAUUUGCCAAGGAUGUUUUCAUUAAUCAAGAACGAAAGUUAGGGGAUCGAAGACGAUCAGAUACCGUCGUAGUCUUAACCAUAAACUAUGCCGACUAGGGAUCGGAUGAUGUUAAUUUUUAAUGA